rnacentral:rRNA from 1 species
AGAGUUUGAUCAUGGCUCAGAUUGAACGCUGGCGGCAGGCCUAACACAUGCAAGUCGAACGGUAACAGGAAACAGCUUGCUGUUUCGCUGACGAGUGGCGGACGGGUGAGUAAUGUCUGGGAAACUGCCUGAUGGAGGGGGAUAACUACUGGAAACGGUAGCUAAUACCGCAUAACGUCGCAAGACCAAAGAGGGGGACCCUCGGGCCUCUUGCCAUCGGAUGUGCCCAGAUGGGAUUAGCUUGUUGGUGGGGUAACGGCUCACCAAGGCGACGAUCCCUAGCUGGUCUGAGAGGAUGACCAGCCACACUGGAACUGAGACACGGUCCAGACUCCUACGGGAGGCAGCAGUGGGGAGUAUUGCACAAUGGGCGCAAGCCUGAUGCAGCCAUGCCGCGUGUAUGAAGAAGGCCUUCAGGUUGUAAAGUACUUUCAGCGGGGAGGAAGGGAGUAAAGUUAAUACCUUUGCUCAUUGACGUUACCCGCAGAAGAAGCACCGGCUAACUCCGUGCCAGCAGCCGCGGUAAUACGGAGGGUGCAAGCGUUAAUCGGAAUUACUGGGCGUAAAGCGCACGCAGGCGGUUUGUUAAGUCAGAUGUGAAAUCCCCGGGCUCAACCUGGGUACUGCAUCUGAUACUGGCAAGCUUGAGUCUCGUAGAGGGGGGUAGAAUUCCAGGUGUAGCGGUGAAAUGCGUAGAGAUCUGGAGGAAUACCGGUGGCGAAGGCGGCCCCCUGGACGAAGACUGACGCUCAGGUGCGAAAGCGUGGGGAGCAAACAGGAUUAGAUACCCUGGUAGUCCACGCCGUAAACGAUGUCGACUUGGAGGUUGUGCCCUUGAGGCGUGGCUUCCGGAGCUAACGCGUUAAGUCGACCGCCUGGGGAGUACGGCCGCAAGGUUAAAACUCAAAUGAAUUGACGGGGGCCCGCACAAGCGGUGGAGCAUGUGGUUUAAUUCGAUGCAACGCGAAGAACCUUACCUGGUCUUGACAUCCACGGAAGUUUUCAGAGAUGAGAAUGUGCCUUCGGGAACCGUGAGACAGGUGCUGCAUGGCUGUCGUCAGCUCGUGUUGUGAAAUGUUGGGUUAAGUCCCGCAACGAGCGCAACCCUUAUCCUUUUGUUGCCAGCGGUCCGGCCGGGAACUCAAAGGAGACUGCCAGUGAUAAACUGGAGGAAGGUGGGGAUGACGUCAAGUCAUCAUGGCCCUUACGACCAGGGCUACACACGUGCUACAAUGGCGCAUACAAAGAGAAGCGACCUCGCGAGAGCAAGCGGACCUCAUAAAGUGCGUCGUAGUCCGGAUUGGAGUCUGCAACUCGACUCCAUGAAGUCGGAAUCGCUAGUAAUCGUGGAUCAGAAUGCCACGGUGAAUACGUUCCCGGGCCUUGUACACACCGCCCGUCACACCAUGGGAGUGGGUUGCAAAAGAAGUAGGUAGCUUAACCUUCGGGAGGGCGCUUACCACUUUGUGAUUCAUGACUGGGGUGAAGUCGAAACAAGGUA